rnacentral:lncRNA from 1 species
GGAAAUCAAAGGUUUAUAUGUAAGUUAAAGAAGAGCUUGUAUGGAUUGAAGCAAGUUUCAAAGUAGUGGUACAAGGAGUUUGACAAUUUCAUGAUUGAGAUUGGUUAUAAUAGAUGUCAUGCUGACCAAUGUUGCUACUUCAAGAGGUUCAACAAAAGCUAUCUUAUCUUUUUGCUAUACAUUGAUGAUAUGUUGAUUGCAAGAUCUGAUUCAAGGGGGGUGAAUAAGUUGAAGAAGCAAUUGUUUGAAUGAUUCUCCAUGAAGGAUCUUGGAAAAGUAAAACAGAUUUUAGGUAUGAGAAUCGAGCGGAACAAGUUGGCAAGGAAGUUGUAUCUUUUGUAUCUUUCGAAGGUAAAUAUAUUUAGAGGGUCCUAGAAAGAUUUAACAUGAAGGAUUCAAAGCCUGUGAGUAUCCCAUUGGAUAGUCACUUCAAGCUUUAAUAAGAAGUCGCCAAGUAGCAAAGAGGAUCGUGCCCAAAUGAAGAUGUUCCCUAUGCUUCAGCAAUUAGUAGCAUCAUGUAUGUCAUGGUAUGCACAAGACCGAAUAUUGUGCAUGCAGUGGGAGUUGUGAGCCGACUCAUGGGUGAUCCAGGCAAGCAACAUUGGGAAGCAGUAAAGUGGAUUCUGCGAUACUUGAAAGGUACCACUGACGAAGCUUUGUAUUUUGAUGGCAAUAGUGUUGAGUUUGUUGGUUAUGUUGAUGCAAACUUGGCGUCUAAUGACAUUAAUGGGAGAACAAGUACAUCAAUUUCUUGGACUUCUAAGUUGCAGAAGGUCAUUGUUUUGUCUACUACGGAAGCUGAGUAUGUAGAUGUGACGAAAGUAAGUAAGGAGAUGGUGUGGUUGCGGAAUUUCUUGGGAAUUAGCUUAAGAAUAGCACUCUCUAUAGUGAUAGUCAAAGUGCCAUAUUCUUAGCUAAGAAUCUGAUGUUCCAUUCGAGGACGAAACAUGUUGAGUUGAAGUAUCAUUACAUAUGUCACCUAUUGGAGAAAAAAACCUUGCAACUAGAGCUGUAAAAUCGGGUUGCAGGUAUCGGGUAUACCCUCACCCGUCCCGAUACCUGCCCGAUACCCGCAAAUUUAAAGAGGAGGGUCGGGUGCGGGUAGCAUAUUCUCAAAAAUCACGGGUAGAGGGUACCCGCAGGUAUACCCGAGGGUACUCGCAUACCCGUAAUAUAAUAUUUAAAAAUUAAAAUUAAAUAAUUUUACUUAUGAAUUUUAGGAAUUAAAAUUCCCAAAACCUCCAAGCCCUAAUCGUUUUCGUUCGUCUCUCUCUCUCAUCUAAUUUUAUUUAGGAAUUUUAGGAAUAAUUUUGAUUGUUGUACUUGUUUGUCAUAUGUUUAUUUAUUAUUUAUUUGUCACAGGUUUUAUGGAUAAUCGAUGAAAUAGAAAGGAUAUUUUCAAUUUUUUUUGUGAAAUGCGGGACAAAAUACCCUCUCGUGGGACAAAAUACCUUCCAGCGGGACCAAAAACCCGCAAAAUUACAAUAAAAAAAAAUAUUGCGGGACUGUGAUCCGCUGCGGGUAUGAGGGUACCCGCAGUAUGCAGGAGGGUCGGGUGAGGGUGGGGAUUUCGGCGGAUUUUGUCCCGCGGGUACCCGCAUUUUGCGGGUAGGGUACCCGCGGGUACCCGAAUUUACUGCCCUACUUGCAAGUAAUGAAGAUACAAGUGAGAAUCCAACUGACAUGUUUACUAAGAUGGUGACCGUAGAGACAUUGAAGCUAUGCAUAGCUUCAAUUAACCUUGAAUCUUGAAGAUGAGGCUAGGCGAUGCUAGGCAGAUACGGGAGGAGAACAAGAAGAUAUGGAUACUUGGAAGUGCAGUCUCCAAGUGGGAGAUUAUUAAAAUAUGGAGCCUGAAGUUUUUGGGUUGCUGUAUGAUUCGCUAAUUAGGCCCAGUUGAUUUGAGUUUAAUUAAUUAUCGCUAUUAUAAAUAGUUGUCUCAUCUGUAUUUUGUAUUUGAAAAAUAUCAUAGUGAAAAAUCUGAUUUGACAUCGCCCCUAGUUACAUAUCGUAACGAAUUGGGUAAACAAUUCUUGUGUGUACUUUUGUUGCUUUCGUGAUUUGUGCAUGUUAUUUCCUAAUAGGACCUGGAGGAAUUAACCAACAACUCAAUUAUCAUAUACAAAAAAUAAAAUGUAAAAUACAAUUUAAAUGUAAUGAAAAAAAANUUAACGACCUUGGCCCUGGCUCUGGUAUUUAUUAAUAUAAGUAGAAAAGCAUGCAUCUAUUUUCAUGGGAUGAUCAUCCGAUUGAUAAAAACACAAUCUCAUUAAUAAAAGGUUAUAAAUUUUGAACUUUUUGAUGUGUCUAUGAAAAUUCGUAAUUGCUAUUUUUUAUGUACAUUAAGUAAAUUAAUAUUUUUUUGCAAUAACCUACAAACAUCCAUAUAUUUAAAAAACGAGGCAUGACGAAUUCGUAUCUGUUGUGGAAUUGCUCGAGAAGACAAUCAACGCAGCAAGAACAUAAAAGUAAAGAACACGAAGGCGAUUUACGUGGUUCGGAUUUUUCAAUCCUACAUCCACGGUGCAGAAACAAUAAAUUCUAUUUCACUAUGAACACUCAAGAACUUUACAAUUACAAUUGAGAACUCUCAACCCUAGAAGAAGUGUACAGCCUACAAAUCUAUCAAGAUUGCUAUAAUUCCUCACUCUCAACUAGUUUACAGUAAUGAAAAAUUCUUAAGCUUCAACUCAAUAACUAAUCUAGGUAUUUUAAACAAACGAAUUAGCAGUUGAGAAGAUUUGAGCUAUGCGCCGACUUCUGGAAUGAAGGAACAGAUCCGUUGGAACUGUUGUAACUAACCUAAAACUGAACUCCCUUAACUCUUGCAUAUUUACAAACUGAUCCCUCAGCUAAAGACUAAACACCCGUGCGUAUUUUCGCCAGUCAGAGGAAUCGAACGCUAGAGCAGAGAAAUCAAGACGCCAGCGGAAUCAAUAUGCCAGAGCAGCGAAAUGCUUUACCAGAGAAAUCAGGUUCAGAGGAAUCAAGUCCAUAGUCGUGAACAGCAUUGCUAGAGAAAUCAAAUCCAGAGCAGCGAAAUCAUCAUUCCGCUGACAACCCAUUUCUCUGGCGAGAUCAUAGAAACCGUAUAGACUAAUUGUAUGUAGAUACUUUACUCACAAUUCUCCACCUUAUCUAAUACAAUUAGAAUACACCGAGCUACCUGCAUGGAUUAUACAAACACCUUGCUCUCCUCAAGAGAGCUCAUACCAAUCAAAGAACAACACUUUUGGAACUUAACAGUUGGUAAAGAUUUGGUAAGCAUAUCUGAAGCAUUAUCAUCAGUAGACACUUUUUUUAUUAUAACUUCACCUUUUUCAACUAAAUCCCUAACAAAAUGAAAUCUAACAUCUAUAUGUUUAGACCUCUCAUGAAAAGAUUGAUGUUUAACAAGGUGAAUUGCACUUUGAUUAUCACAAAGAAUAGAGACUACCUGUUGAUUAACACCUAACUCAGAUAGCAUACCUCUUAACCNCUAUUGCUCGACACCUCGAGCAUCGAGCAUUGCAUGUCGUCGAGCACUGAACCUUAUUCAAAUUUCAGGCGAAGCAGAGGCGGAGGAGCAGCGCAGUUAGGCGAGGCGAAAGAGCAGCGCGGCGAGGUGAGGCGAGGCGAGCUAUGUCAGAGGCGAGACGUGGCGAGGUGGAGGGGAAGCCGACAGAUCUGGACAGAGAGAGAGAGAGAGAAAGAGUCGUCCUUGUCGAGCAACUGUCGUUGUUCUAUAUCGCUCGACUUGUAAACUUUGCUCGACAUAUAUAACUUGUCGAGCAUGUCGAGCAAUUAUCGUUGUUCUACAUCGCUCGACUUACAAACGUUGCUCGGCAUGCUCGAUAAGUCAAGCAUGUCGAGCAACAGUUCUAAAUGCUUUAUGCUCGACAUGCUCGACUCCAAGUAGUCAAGCACGUCGAGUAUUUGUUCAUAUCCCACUAUGCUCGACAUGCUUGACUUGUUGAGCAUGUUGAGAGAAGUUCGCGAUUCGAGCAAUGUAGAACAAACACACGAAUCUUCGAAAUAUAUCAACUGCAAUUCAAAAAUGUUGUUCAUAAACCAUAAAAAUAGUUUUAAUAACAAUAACUACUAUAUAGAAGACCUCAAUAUAGCUUUCAAACCAUCGGAUUAAGUACGGAUCGAAGAAACCCAAUAUUGAAGAAGAAGAUUUCUAGGUUUUGAAGAUAAAUAUUUGUGAAGUUUUAUUUUGUGUUUGAUUUUCAAUUUGCAGAGGCAGGAGGUCGCAGCGGAAGCGUGGUGCAGCUGGGCGGAGGGGGGAAGUCGGUGGAGGGGGGAGGAGAGAGAGAGAGAAGAGGAAGGGGCUGCGAUUUGGGGUAGGGGAAGGGUGCUUGUUUGGAAAUUCUUGUUUCUGUAAGGGUAUAAGUGUCAAGUUUUUCAAAAAAUUGGUAUUAUUUAUAUAUUUUAGUUUGUGUGGGUGGGUAUUUUUUUGUUUUUAUCUUUGAGAAUGGGUAUUCUCUACCAUAUGAAAUAUUUUUAAAAGCUCUUGUUUGUUUUUUUUUCCUCUAAAAAAAGGUGACUUGAACUCUCAACCUAUUAAUUAGAGAAGAAACGUCUUAACAAUUGAGUUGCGUUUUAUUGUCAAGAGACAAAGUACAUUAGGGGAGAUUUAAUUUAGAAACAAGAUAAAUUUAAUUUAUGAAAUUAACGAUGACAUUAGUGUCAUGAUUGAUUCAAAUAUAUUUGAUUAAUUAUCCAUAAAGAUAGAAUAAACUCAGCCUUUCCUCUCUUAUUUGUUUUAGUUUUUGUAUAUUUAGAAUUUUUGUGGAUAUUUUCACUAAAGUGAAUUAUAAUUUAAGUUUUUCGGAUCCUUUAUCCACAAUUUUUUGUUUAUCACUAUUACUUUUACUAUUUAAAAAAGAUUGUUACAAAAAUGAAAAUAAUAUUAACUCCAUCCGAUCACAACAGUAUGCACUUUUGCUAUUUGGAUAUGUCACAUAAAAAUGUAAAAACAUGCACAUCUAAUUUUUGAACAUUAUCUCACCAUAAAUUCAUUAAUUUUUAUUUCUAUUUUUGUCAAUUUAUUUACAAUUUAAUUUACCACACAUGGCCAAUACAACUACUCCAUUUUUUAUUUCUACUAUCACAAUAGUACAAUAAAAAUACACAGUUAUCAAACAUUUGUUAAAACUUGUCGUAACUUAAUGUGCACUCUAUUUCGAGACUGAGGGAGUAUUAUAAAAUAGAUCUAAUUAAUAUAUCUAUUACAUAUAAAUAUUGGCAAUUUUUUUAUAUAUAUUGUUGUGGAAUUGCUUGAAUGAUCAACGCAGCAAAAAUAGAAAAGAAAUGAACACAAACAAGAUUUACGUGGUUUGGAGUUUUCAAUCCUACAUCCACGGAGAAGAAGCGAUCCACUCUAUUUCACUAUGAACACUCAAGAACUUUACAAUUACAAUUGAGAACUCUCAACACUAGAAGAAGUGUAUAGCCUACAAAUCUAUCAAGAUCGCUAUGUAUCCUCACUUUCAACUAGUUUACAGUAAUGGAAAUUCUUAAGCAACAACUCAACAACUAAUCUAGGUAUUUAAACAAGAGAAAUAGCAGUUGAGAAGAUUUGAGCUGCGCGUCGACUUCUGGAAUGAAGGAACAGAUCCGUUGGAUCUGUUUUAACUAACCUAAAACUGAACUCCCUUAACUCUUGCAUAUUUGCUAACUGAUCCCUCAGCUAUAGACUAACCACCCUUGCAUAUUCUACCAGUCAGAGGAAUCGAAUGCCAGAGCAAAGAAAUCAAGACGCCAGAGGAAUCAGGCCGAGUACAAAGCAUAGAAUACAUGAUGCUUCCUACCACAUUUGCAUAAGGAAUAACACUCAUGUCUUUAAGCUCUUCACUAGUAACAGGACAUUGACUACUAGACAGCUUAACAUGUUGAGCUAUAGGAACCUGAGCAACUUUUGCUUCAUUCAUAUUGAAUUUUAACAAUACUUUCUUCAAGUAAUCAGAUUGAACAAGCAUAAGUUUCAUAUUUUUCCUAUCUCUCUUGAUAUCCAUACCAAGAAUUCUUCUAGCAACCCCUAGAUCUUUCAUAUCAAAUUCAGUACUCAAUGAUUGCUUUAAUUUAUCAAUUUCAGUACUAGAACUACUAGCAAUAAGCAUAUCAUCAACAUACAAGAGUAAGUAAACAACCACAGACUUAGCAACUUCUUUCAAGUCUUGGACUUUGCUUCAGUCAAACCUUUUAUUCCACUGUCUUUGAACAUGUUCUCUUGAAACCUAUACUUAUCAUGAAUUCAUCAAACCUUUUAUUCCACUGUCUUGGACUUUGCUUCAGUCCAUACAAAGACUUUUUCAAGAGACAUACCUGACCUUCACAGCCAGCUACUUCAAAUCCCUCUGGUUGAUUCAUGAAUAUAGUUUCUUCUAACUCACCAUUUAGAAAGGCUGUUUUAACAUCCAUCUGUUGCAAUUCUAAAUCUCGGUGUGCAGUUAGAGCAAGUAUAAGUCUAAUAGAACAGUGUUUGACAACAGGAGAGAAUAUUUCAUUAAAAUCUAUACCUUCUUGCUGAGAGAUACCUCUAGCAACUAACCUGGCUUUAUACCCGAUGAUCUCUGCACCAUUAUGAACCUCCACAUUUUUCUUGUAUAACCAUCUACAUGUUACACAUUUCUGGUUCUUAGGUCUGUCAACCAAGAUCCAAGUCUUAUUUUUCAAUAAAGACUCUAUUUCCUCUUCCAUAGCUUUGAUCCAUUGCUUGCUUUCAGAGCACUGAAUUGCUUCUUUAUAGGACUUAGGCUCUUUGUAAUUUACCUCUUCAGCUACUGAGAAAGCAAAGCUAACUUGAUCUGCUUCAGAGUAUCUGGCUGGAGGUCUGGUAAUUCUCCUAGCUCUGUCACGAGCUAGAUGAUAAUCACUGAGAUCCUCAGUGUUAUCCUUUUGUUGAUCAUCUUCCUCCUGUUUUAUACCUGUCACUUCUGAUACUCUAGACAUUUCAUUAUUAAUAGGUGUGUUAUCACUAGUUUUAUCAGUGUUUACUUCAACUCCUUUACUAGUAUACUCAGUAGUAGAUUGCUCUUUUAGAGGCAUUAUGUUUUCUUUAAACACUACAUCUCUACUGACUAGAAGUUUUCCCUUUCCAGAUUCUAUGCACCAGAGCCUAUACCCUUUAACCCCUGUUGGAUAUCCCACCAUAACACAUUUCAAUGCUCGGGGUUCCAACUUAUCCUGCCUAACAUGCAUAUAUGCUAAUCAUCCAAAUUUUCUCAAGUUUGAGUAAUCAGCAGCCCUACCAGUCCACAGUUCUUCAGGAGUUUUAAACUCAAUAGCACUAGAAGGGCAUCUAUUUAUAAGAUGAGCAGCAGUGGUGACUGCUUCUCCCCAAAAUUUUGGUGGCAAACCUGAGCUGGAGAGUAUACACCUAACUCUCUCAAGGAGAGUUCUAUUCAUUCUCUCUACAACCCCAUUCUGUUGGGGAUUUCCAGGUACUGAUUUAUGUCUUUUAAUUCCCCUAUCUUUACAAUAUUCUUGAAAAUUUUCAGAGGUGAAUUCUAAGCCAUUGUCAGUCCUUAAGCAUUUCAACUUACAUCCCUUUUCAUUCUCAACAGCACUACACCACUCAACAAAUUUAUCAAAGGCAUCAGACUUGUGUUUUAAAAUGUAAACCCAGACUUUCCUAGAGAAAUCAUCUAUUAGAGACAUGAAAUAUAAUCCUCCACCUAUAGUGGUGGUUUUGGAUGGACCCCACAGAUCACAAUGAACAUAUUGAAUAGGUGCAGAUGAAACAUGUUUGCCAACAGGAUAUGGGAGUUUCUUGCUUUUACUUAGUUCACAUGCAUCACAAGUGUUCAGUUUUUCAUCAGCAGAUAAACUCAAUAUACCCUGUUUCCUUAGUUCAAUUAACCCUUUUUCACUAACAUGCCCAAGUCUCUCAUGCCACAAUUCAAUAUCACGCGUAGAGGCAAUUUCAGACUCACCAACAAUAGUUUCACUACAAGAAUUAAGCACAUAGACAACACAAAAUAGACAACAGAAUUUUAUAAAUUUGUUGUCAAUUAUUAUAUAGACAACAUCAAUGGCUAAAACUGUUGUCUAUAACUAUAUAAAAAUGAGGCCAUAGACAACAAAGUUUAAAAUCUGUUGUCUAUGACAGCUCUUAGACAAUAUUUCUUAAUAGCCGUUGUUUAUUAACACAAUACACAACGGUUUCUCCUCUAUUUGUUGUCUUUAUUUAACACAUAUAGACAAGUAUUUUCAAACUUCGUUGUAUAUGUAUAUAACUAGACAACAGAGUUUUAAAACACUUGUGUAAUUUAAUUAAAGAAAAGGUGAAAAGUCGAAAAUUGGCAAAACAAAAAUACAAAAAUAAAAGGAAAAGCCCCAGUAGUCUACUACAAUUUAGAAGACAACCACUUGUCGCCGCUCCUUACCCACGCCGUGUCGCCGCUCCUUACCCACGCCGUCGCCGGUCAUUUCCCACGCCGUCGCUGCCAUUUUCUCAUCCUGGCGCCUCCACUUUCACCAACCUGACGACGCCGCCUCCCUUCUACCAUAACCCACUACAUCUCCACCUAAAUCUCCCUCUCUCUAUCACGGCGAUGUUGCCGGCUACCUUCCGGACGAGCUGGGCCUGCUGAUCUAUCUGGCGCUCUGCCACAUUAACUCCAACAGAUUCUACGGCCUCGUUCCGGAAUACCUUCUACAUUCCAGUUCCAGAUAUUAUUUUGGGGCGUUUCAGAUUUCUCACUUCUCUUAAGGGGUUUGACUAAAAAAGAGAGGAGAAAUUCCUGACAAAUUUCAACUUCUGCUAGCUGAAAUUCUGCAAUGGAAAGGUAAUUUUAUAUUUUCUGGUUUGUUGGAAUUCUGUUCGUGAUUGAAUUUCUCUUUCUGCUGAAUCUAGGGUUUCUGAACAGUACGAAUUUUAAUUUCGAGUGCAAUUGUUCAUUUUUUGUGUUUGAAUGAUCUCAUAUCCACUGUACAGACCUAGUUUUACUUAAACUUCUCUUAGUUUCUGAUUCGUUACUUUUAGCCAUUUUUGGUGUGUUCUUAUGGUUGCUUGAUUUUUUCUGUCUCAAUCCUUACUUUUGAAGUAAGUUUACGUCGUGUGCCAGUUUUUGCCCCAGCAUUUGCGGAUUUGGCACAAUGUGUUAUCCCGCAGAUUACAGCUUGUCUGUACUCUACUGAUUUUAAUAUAUUUUCUUGCUAUUUUGGCCAUUGAUGUUGAGGGAAUCACUAAUUUAUACUUCAAUGUUGAAAUGGAAAGAACGCAAGACUUACUAGCUCAAACUUGCUAGUUUAGGCUGUGUUGUGAAGCUGGAAUAUUUACAGAUGCAAAUGUCGCUUGGGUUCUAGAUUACCUACUUCUAGAAGUCAUAAGCGUAAUUUGAUCUUAUAUGCAAAAUAAUAGUAUUUGGCAAACAAAUUGAUAUAGGCAUAUAGCUUUAUUGGAUAAGUACCUUGUUCUUUGUAAUUUUUCUAAGCUGGGCAUUGUGCAGUGAAACACCCAAUUAAGCUUCUGCGCAGCUGAAACUUUGGAAACAAAUUACUUUUUUUUUCAGUUGAAUUCUUACUUGAUGCCCCAUUCUACUUUUAGUUACCAUUUGCCUUUAAUUGUUUUAUAAAUCUCUCAAGAUGGUUUUCCAGCAACAUGUUAAGCACAACUGAUCCUAGUUUCUUUAUCACAUGAAUUGAAAUCCUGGUGUAGACGAGCAGAACCUCUAUUUUCGAAGCUAUAGAAGAAGUAUCAGACUACAAGUUGCCAUCUCAGAGCAGGAUGAAGGGCAGCGCUGAUGGAAAAACUGUAGGCCCAUCAGGCUGUAUGGAAAUCGUUCACACUACAAAUUUCUUGAUUUUGGUUGCUAUUUCUUAUAGUCUAUUAGACCUGUUCAUUGGGGAUUACUAUGAUGGCUCUACAUGCUUAUCACUCUAUAUUCUCAUUUUGUUCGUUCCUCAAGAAUAGCUGGUCAUUAGCACGGAUCUAAAAGGCUUCUCAUAUAUUUUUUGCUAUUUUCUAUUGUGUAGGUUGAUGUUAUGCUCUAAAACCUUGAAAAGGAUACUGAUGUUGUAGAUGCCAAAAUUGGUGAUAGGUAAUUUUACCAGAGCACUAUUAAUAAAGCUAUAUAAGUUUUUAUUGUAAGCCUACUAAUCCCUUAUCAUUACCUUCAAGCAAGGUUCUACGUGUUUGACUGAAAGAUUGUAGUUAUGAUGGGCACAUAUUAUCUUCUAAAUUGUUUUACUUUAUUGGAUGUAUUUAUUGUCUUCGAUUAGAUCUAAUGUGAAAAAUCACACUAAACGGAUGUUAUCCGGGGAAGCUAAUAUUUCCUUAAUUUUAUUGAAUAAUUUUAUGGCCAGGAAUUGUUAUGACAAAGUGACUCCAGAGAGGUUGCAUCUGCUGCUUCGUACCUCAAAGCUACCUUAGAUAAGGAGGGAAUUUAAGAAUUUAUUGGCAAAUUGUCCAAAGAUAGAGGUCAGUUGUGUUACUUAUCUUCCCCAGUCUGGUUUAGUACUGAAAACUUAUAAUUGUUGUCAAAACUAUCCUCUACUAUAAAUAAAGUAAGUAAACAGCUGUUUGUUUGCAUAUUCUAGAUUUAUCUGUUGUGGCAAUGCUGCUAUAUCCCAAUCAUAAUUACAUGUAUGGGAACAAUUAUGUUAAUUAGCUAAGAAUUUGCGGAGCUUAAAUGCUUAAUAAUAAAAUUUCAAUUGUAUCGUUAUCAAGAACAUGUUACUAUAGAUUAAAAUUGGAAAGUGCCCUCAAGCAUGCUUGCUUCUUCAUUCAUUCAGUGAAUCUACUUUAUGCGGAAAAAGAAAAAGUAGUGCACCAUUUUGAGAAAGAUGUAUAUUAUCACUCAAAGAAACAAUAAUAAAAAAUCAAAUGUGGAAUAUAGGAGCAUCAAAUCUAUUUAGAAUUUAGUGUAAGUUUGCUGCUCGCUGCUUUCUUUAUUCUAUUUCUUCUUUACCAUCCUUUGUGAUUUCAUUUGAACUAUGAAUUUUUCUUGGUUUUAAGCUGUCUUUGACUUUAAUGUCCAGCGUAUCACUGAUGAAUUUCGGAAAGAGUGAGCCAAGUUUGUUGGUAAGAGUGAUGAUGAAGGUAAAUUUGAUAUAUAUUUCUUUUGUUUCAUAAUUUUAGAGAUUUAAGUGAUUCUAAAUCUUAAAGUCAUAUUUUCUUUUGUUCAUGUAGAUGGAAGCUAGUUGGAUGGUUGAAUUUGUUGGAUGAAUGGUGGUGAAUGUUGAAGGUUGGAGAUUGUAUUGAAGGUUGGAGAUUGUAUUAGAGGUUUUUUAGCAGAUAAAUGAAGGCGUAGUUAGAGAUGAUACAAUUAUGAAUGUAAUGUCUUUUGAUGAAAUACCAAACAAGAUGUUUGACUUUUAUGAUAUUAAUCGAGUUUUUAUUAAUUAUUUUUUAGUAUUGUUUGGUUAUUUGAUGUUUAAGUAUUUUAAUUUUGUCACAUAUAUUGGUAUUACAAAAUAAAGGAUUUGAAUAUUCUAGAAAAAUAUUUUAAAUUUUGUCAUAGAACAGACAACAAUCAUUAUUUGUUGUAUAUAAUAACAUAGACAAUAGAUAUUAUAUGUUGUCUAUAACCGCUAGGUCUAUUGUAUAUAACGUUAUAGACAACAGUCAUUAACUGUUGUCUAUGUUAAAAUAGACAACAUAUAAUAUAUGUUGUCUAUGAGAGCCCCAGAAUAGACAACACCGACGACAACAACAGAUUUUUCCACAUAGACAACACUAAAUAUAUGUUGUCUAUAAGCUAAAUUCUUGUAGUGUUUCAGCAACUAAAUGAUACAAAGUCUGUUUUCUGGUUCCUUUCAACACAAUUUUAUCUUCCUUUAAAACAUAUAUAUCAUUAACACAUGAUUUAAACUCAUAGCCUUUCAUUUGUAGUGAUCCAAGGGAUAUCAAAUUCCUUUUUAGACUAGGAAUAUAUCUAACUUCAGUUAGGAGUCUUACAGNGUUGUAUAUAAUAACAUAGACAAUAGAUAUUAUAUGUUGUCUAUAACCGCUAGGUCUAUUGAUAUAACGUUAUAGACAACAGUCAUUAACUGUUGUCUAUGUUAAAAUAGACAACAUAUAAUAUAUGUUGUCUAUGAGAGCCCCAGAAUAGACAACACCGACGACAACAACAUAUUUUUCCACAUAGACAACACUAAAUAUAUGUUGUCUAUAAGCUAAAUUCUUGUAGUGAAUUAAUCUAAUAUAUCCUAAUUAAUUUAUUUAUUACAUAUCUUAUUUUACAGGUGUUAAUUAUUUAUAAUCAAGCAUGUGUGUUAAAUGGAGAGUUUGAAGGUCUUUUUUAUGACAGUGACUUAGAUUAAUUUAAAUAUUAGGAUAAAAAUUUGUUGGCUUGUAAAAGUAUACACCAAUUAAUAAAUGAUGCACCCAUAUGAUAAUUAUCAAUCCAUUUUAAGAGGUUUGAGCUUACUUGCACCGAUCGAGCACAUGACUAUGCCCACAAGUCCACAAUAAUCAAAGUAAAAUCCAAAACUCUUAAAAUAUGCUGAGUAUAGUCCUAUGAGUGCAUUAUUUAUUAAUUAACGUCCUACUUUUAUAAAUUCAAAUUCUUUUAUCAUAAUUUUCAAAUUAAUUUAAGUUAUCGUUCUUAAAAACCCUCUAACUCGUUAAAUGGACGUCAGAUUAUGGAGAGUUACACUAUUCAAAAAAAGUUGAAUCAUGGCAUUAAUAAAUGUGUGUUAAUGAAAUUAGAAUAGUAUAAGUAAAAUGUAGUGGUAUAUUAUAUCAUGCAACUGAAAGAAAGAAUACUAGUCAAUGUAACUGAAAGAAUUCACCAACAUAACCCGGCAUUAUUUAAGGAAUGUUCUCGAUUUCAUUUUCUUUAUUUCCUUUUUAAGGGGAAAAUGUCAUCACUCUUUUAAUCAUCAAAUUUGUUGCAUCUUGUAUAGUUGUAUUAGUUGUCUUAAUAAAUUAUAUAUAUGAUGUUAUUCAAUACUUACAAUUAAUAAAAGUGUUAUGUACUCCACUUAAAAAUAAUAGUAUUAAUUAUAUUUUAAAGUGGUGAAAACAUCCAUCAUGUAGUAGAAAUAUAGAAUAGGUAAAUAAGUCAAUAUAUAAACGGUAAUCUAUCAUAGAGUAAUGAAUAAAAUAGAACUAUUUUAUGUGGGUAUCACAAAAAAAAAAAGAAAAUUAUGACUUUUUAGGACCCAGAGAGUAGCUUGAAUUUUGACAUUAUAUUGAUUUUUCGUUUGAAAUUAUACUUUCUCUGUCUACUAAAAUUAUGUUACUAUUAUUAUUUUUGACGUUCACCAAAAGUAUCAAACACUUAGACUUUUAAGUUUUGUCAUUCACGGUGGGAAAGAUUGGUGUUGCGUCAUUUAUUUGGAAGUCAAAGCUAACAAGUGUACAAAACGACGUCGCUUUAUGUUUCCUCACAACUUGAGACCACCUGCAAAUAUGGCGGCAAAAGCUUCCAUUCUCUCCAAUGGCAACGACAUACCGAUCUCCAAUCCGCCGUCGGAAUCCCUAGAAUUGCACAACGACAUCGUAUAACUCUCCGCGUCAAUCGACACCACCUCCACCUUCCUCCCCUUCCCCCACCCGAAAUCCGCCUUAUACAGAUCGAAUUUAGGCGAAUCACUCACCAAAAAACUCCUCAUCCCGAUAUAUUUCAUCAUUUCCCCCGGCCAGCCCUCCGCCCCCUUCAGAAACUCAUCCUUGUCAUGAAUUCUGCGCUUGAUUUCCCCGCCGAUUGCCUCCGCCGCCGCCGGAAACCC